GAUGAACGCUAGCGGGAGGCCUAACACAUGCAAGCCGAGCGGUAGAGCUUCUUCGGAAACUUGAGAGCGGCGCACGGGUGCGUAACACGUGUGCAACCUACCUUUAUCUGGGGGACAGGCUUUCGAAAGGAAGAUCAAUACCCCAUAAUAUAAAGAUUGGCAUCAAUUAUUAUCGAAAACUCCGGUGGAUAGAGAUGGGCACGCGCAAGAUUAGAUAGUUGGUGAGGUAACGGCUCACCAAGUCAACGAUCUUUAGGGGUCCUGAGAGGCAGAGCCGCCACACUUGUACUGCGACACGGACCCCACUCCUACGGGGGGGAGCGGUAUGGAAUAUUAGGCACGGGGGGAGAGCCUGAUCCAGCCAUCCCGCGUGAAGGAGGACGGUCCUAUUGAUUGUAAACUUCUUUUGAACAGGGAUAAACCUACCCUCGUGAGGGUAGCUGACGGUACUGUACGAAUAAGCACCGGCUAACUCCGUG
rnacentral:rRNA from 1 species